rnacentral:rRNA from 1 species
UACGAAGGGGGCUAGCGUUGCUCGGAAUCACUGGGCGUAAAGCGCACGUAGGCGGAUUGUUAAGUCAGGGGUGAAAUCCUGGAGCUCAACUCCAGAACUGCCUUUGAUACUGGCGAUCUCGAGUCCGGGAGAGGUGAGUGGAACUGCGAGUGUAGAGGUGAAAUUCGUAGAUAUUCGCAAGAACACCAGUGGCGAAGGCGGCUCACUGGCCCGGUACUGACGCUGAGGUGCGAAAGCG